UCGGCCCUCGGGCCAUAAGGAACUAUCUGUUCCUCUCUCUAUACUCAUAGGGUUUUAGGAUUUCGUUUCUGCAACCAUCUUUUACUCUCCAAUGGAGAUUCUGAAACCUCAAUUCCAAUCUUUACCAAAACCCCUUUUUCCUUCUCCUCUCAGUUUCUCCUUCUCCACUUCAUUUCCAUUAAAAACUCAUGCCACAAACCCUAGAUUACUCCACCAAACCCCCUUUUGUUUCCGCAGCAAUCAGAGCUUAAAAAUCUCAUCAAAGUUAGGCAAAAGAAGGAAUUCGUUGAGGAAAAAGAUUUCUGAACAACAGCUAAAUCAAAAGGUGAGACCUUUAAAUGAUUCACAGAAUUUGAUUGAAGGGUUUUUCAAUUUGAAUGUUAGGUCUAAUGUAGAAAAGGUGAAACCUUUAAGUGAAACUGAGGUUUGGGGUGAUGGUUCAGGUCCAAUUUUUACUGUAUAUACUGAUUUGAAUGGAAAUAUUAAGAAUGUUUGUGUUAAUGAAGAUGAGAUUUUGAGGAGGAGUGGUGUUCAACCGUUAUCGGCUAGGAACGAUGAUGAUAAACUCGAUGAGGAUUUAGUAGAUGUGAAUUUGAAAAUGUCCCGUGCGCAAUGUGUAGCGAAAGAGAUUGAAAAUGGAGAGUAUGUGGUGCCUAAGGAUAGUGGUAUUGCUAAAUUUGUUGUUCAGGGUCAGUUUAGUGAAGGGAUUCGCGCAGUUAGUGCGCUGCCGAUUAAGUUGUUUCCGAAUGGUUUUGCAUUUCUUUUUGGUUGUUUGUUUUUAUAUUGGACUGUGAAGGUGUUUGGAUCCCGGAAUGAUGUGGUGAUGAGUGAGGAGGAGAAGGAGAUGUUGAGGAGGAAGAUGAAAGCAAGAAUUGAAAGAGAGGCGGAGGAGAAGAUGGCGAUAGGUAAUGUUGAAGUUGUUGCUGCAUGUGUUUCUGAACCGGUUAUUAUUGAGAGGCCGAAAUUGGAUAAGCAAGAGCUCAUGAACAAUAUUUUGAAAGCAAGGAGUGAUAAUAAGCCGGCCUUACUUGAAUCAGCUGGUGGGAAAUCUAGAGAAUUUGAUGAUAAAGUUAUGGAGAUAAAAGAAAUGGCUAGAAAAGCUCGAGAGGUUGAAAGGCAGGAAAAAUCCGGUGUUGAUGAAAAUGAUGAGGACGAGGAUGAGGAGUUGGCUAAUAAGGAAAGCAAGAAGAUAUCAGGUGAUGAACCAGGCUCACUUGAAUCAUCUGGUAGUGUUGCUGCGAAAUCCAGAGAUUUUGAUGAUAAAGUUACAGAGACAAAAGAAAUUGUUAGUGAAGCUAGAGAGGUUGAACGGCAGGAAAAAUUCGGUGUUGAUGAAAAUGAUGAUAAUGAGAAUGAGGAGUUGGCUAACCAGGAAGGCAAGAAGAUAUCAGAUGAUAAACCAGGCUUACUUGAUUCAUCUGGUAGUGUUGCUGCGAAAUCAAAAUUUGUCGAAUUUUUUGAAAAAAAACGAAUGGCUAGAAAGCAAGAGCAUGAGCGGCAGCAGGCAAUACAACAACAGCGGGAAAAAUCUCGAUUUUUUAUGAAUGAUAAGAAGGAGAAUGAGGAGUUAACUAAUGUGGAAGGUGAGAAGAUACUGAAAGAGGAGGAUUUAAGCUCUAGGGAAUCCACGGACAUCGAUGAAUUCACAGAGCAGGUGUCUGUCGAUGCAUCUCUGACGAUAAAUGCUGAAUUCAGUGGAGCAUUACCAGGAAAUGCUGUAGAAGAUGGUGAUUCUGGAACAACAACAGGUUCAAGUAUAAAAAAUCAUGAAGAUGCUUCUGAAAUUGUAUUGCCAACCACAAGUAACAGUGAAGGUACCUUAAACUUGGAGAAAACAAAUGAGGAACAUCAUCUUAGAGGCCCGGUAGCAAGUACUGAUGUAAUAGAAUCUCCAGCAGAUGAACAAUUGAACAAGGAGGAAAGCCAUAUACUGCUAAAUGAACCAGAAGUUGUGAAAUCCUCCAUAGUUUUGGAGUCCUUGGAUUCAACACCUGUUGUAAGUGCUAUUGAAGAUUCUACUCCACGGCACAUAGAUUCAAGCUCAAGUGAGGUGGAGGAUAAUGUCAAUAAGAAGUUAGAGAAUCCAACUCAUGGUGAUGCCAUCAAGGUUGUAGAUACUGAUGAUAGAGACAACUUCGAAAUGGGUGAUACUCGGUGGCCCGGCUCAUCCAAAGCAAAUACAGGCAGUUACCAGAGUUCAGUAGUUGCACAGCCUGUAGCCCAGGAGAGUUGGAUGGAGAAAAACUUUCAAGAGUUUGACCCUGUCCUUCAGAAGAUUCGAGCUGGUUUCAAAGAGAACUACAUGGUUGCAAGAGAGAAAGUGCAAGAAGAAUUAAAUUUAACUCCCGAGUUGAGUCAGUUGGGGUCUGAUGCAGAUGAUGGAGAACUUGAUUGGAUGAAAGACGACAGUCUUAGAGAAAUUGUGUUUCAAGUCCGUGAAAACGAAUUGAUGGGACGCGACCCGUUUUACAUGAUGGAUGCUGAUGAUAGGCGUGCAUUCUUCGAGGGUCUUGAGAAGAAGGUUGAGAAACAGAAUUCAGAACUGUCAAAAAUUCACGAGUACAUCCAUUCAAGGGUUGAAAAUCUGGAUUAUGGAGCAGAUGGAAUCAGCGUGCAUGAUCCACCGGAGAAAUUCAUACCUCGUUGGAAAGGUCCACCAGUUGACAAAAAUCCUGAGUUCCUCAAUAACUAUGUCCAAGAGAAUAAGGAGUUUUUGGCUGAAAGCAUGGGAAUGCCAUCAGCCAUGAAUAAAGAUACUCAAGACAUUCUUGAGAAAUCAACCAAGUCGCCAGCCAAGAAUGGUACAUCCUCAGCAGUUGACAAUCUAAGUAAGACACCUCAGAAGGGGACUUCCUUUAAUCCGAAGACUGUCAUAGAAAGCAGUGAUGGUUCUAGGAGACCUGGCAAAAAAUCAGGGAAAGAGUAUUGGCAGCAUACAAAGAGAUGGUCUCAAGGCUUUUUAGACUCUUACAACGCAGAGACUGAUCCUGAGGUUAAAGCUGUUAUGAAGGGCAUGGGAAAGGAUUUGGAUCGUUGGAUUACCGAGAAAGAAAUUAAGGAAACAGCUGAGUUAAUGACAAAAAUACCGGAAAAGAGAAGAAUAGCUAUAGAAAAGAAGCUCGACAAGCUUAAAAAAGAGAUGGAGUAUUUUGGACCACAAGCUGUAGUCAGUAAGUAUCGAGAAUAUGGAGAGGAAAAAGAAGAAGAUUAUCUCUGGUGGUUAGAUCUUCCAUAUGUGCUGUGCAUUGAACUAUAUAGAGAGGAGGAUGGCGCCCAGAAAGCGGGAUUUUAUACAUUGGAAAUGGCUGAAGAUCUCAAUUUGGAUCCUAAGCAACACCAUGUAAUUGCUUUUGAAGAUGCUAAAGAUUCAAAGAAUUUUUGCUACAUCAUACAGGCUCAUAUGGAAAUGCUUGGAAAUGGUACUGCUUUCGUUGUUGCAAGGCCUCCUAAGGAUGCAUUUAGGGACUCCAAAGCAAAUGGUUUCAGUGUGACUGUCAUCAGGAAAGGGGAGCUCUCCCUUAAUGUGGACCAACCCUUAGAAGAGGUUGAAGAACAAAUCAGUGAGAUUGGUAGCAAGAUGUAUCAUGAUAAGAUCAUGAGUGAACGUUCUGUGAAUAUACACUCGUUGAUGAAGGGUGUCUUCGGUUCCAGAAACCCCUCCCAGAGAAGAAGGGGAUCAAAGCGUAUGCUGGAAAAGCCAAAUGAGAGCUGAGUGGAACAAAUAUACAGUUUUGCACCAACAACAAGCAGGAGCUGCGAAGAGUUCCGUUACAGCAGUAAGUUAGUUUCUAUUUGUUUAUCAAAAUUUCAGGAUGCAAUCAGCAAGGAAGAGAAAACGCAAGGAAUACUUACAAUCAAUGGUAAGAAUGACAUCCAGAAGUACGUGUGCCAUCCUGCAUUAAUAACCAAAAGGGAAUUUAAAGAAUUUGUAUAUGCAAUGUAAUCUGAAGCUAGAGUUCGUAUUCAUCCACACACCUUCCACAUUCACCAGCAAGAAAAACACGAGAAAGAGCCAUAAGUACCAACUGCAUAUCAAGUGGAACUUCGAUGAUGAGGUUUCACGGAGGUGCAAGUUUUUGUAUUGUUUACAUGCUUUGAACAGUGCUCUGCAGCAGCACCACCACCAGUAGCCAGCAACCGCCUUCCAUUCCACACAGUUGAUGGAGAAACAGCUUCUCUAUAGUGAC